rnacentral:rRNA from 1 species
GAUGGAAAGCACUUUGAAAAGAGGGUGAAAAGCACCUGAAACCGCCAUGGGGGAAGCGGAUUGCAUCAGUGUUUGCUUGUAUCUGUUCAGCUAUCAUUUUUGGUAGUGUAUUCAGUGCUUGCUGUGUUGGCAUGGCUGCUUUGGCUUUGGAUUAUGCAAGGCUAAGUGGUGAGGGCUCCUUUCUAGUUUGAGGAUGUCAACAAAAUGAUGCGACCCGACCCGUCUUGAAACACGGACCAAGGAGUCUAGCACUACUGCAAGUCGAAGGGUUUAAAAACUCAUGGGCGAAGUGAAAGCGAAUAUUAGGAGAUCUGAUACAGAUUAGGGAGGUGUUGCGACUUUGUCAAAAUAUCCUACCCAGAGCAGUUGUGCUGGGACCCGAAAGAUGGUGAACUAUGCCGGAAUAGGGCAAAGCCAGAGGAAACUCUGGUGGAGGCUCGUAGCGAUGCUGACGUGCAAAUCGCUCGUCGAAUUUGGGUAUAGGGGCGAAAGACUAAUCGAACCAUCUAGUAGCUGGUUCCCUCCGAAGUUUCUCUCAGGAUAGCGGGCCGACAAUGUGGGUUGUUUUGUGU